ACCACAGAAUUCCAAUUCAGUCUUUUACUACCAGGAACAUAAAAAUGCAAUAUCUGGGGCAGUUCAAGAAAAAUAAUUAAAGAUCAAAUUAAAGAAGAAAAAACUUGGAGGGCAAAACCAGCAAGCUAAGUUUUAAAAAUAAUUGUGAAGAGUGUGAAAAACGAACUUAGAGCAUCAUUGCCAGGUAGAAGAAAGGACAACAAAUGUCACAGGUUUCAGGAAUGUCAGAGAAAACCUUCCAGAUGGAGCAUCUGCUGAGACC
rnacentral:lncRNA from 1 species